UGAGUUGGUGACUUGUUCAUCGAGAACACAUCUGAUAUCCCAGAAUUAAUUGAUAGAUGUCAGGAGAGCAGGAAAAACUCCACAACUGUAAUAAGUUGGAACUUUUCUUAUUUCAGUACAGCGUCGAGAAUGCAUUCCAGCAAUUUCUAUUCAACUCGCAAAGCCAUGGAAAUGGCUACUGAAGACGCGACAACAGUUCAAGGCAGUCCAAGUAAUUUUGUAACUACAAAACAAGCUUGCUUGACGGAAACCCCGGGUCCUGGUCUUCUUGAGCAAGACGAAAUAUAUUAAUAUCUGUAUGUUGAAUGUUUAACUACAGUACCUACUAUUUUAUAUUAUGACUAUGUUAAAACAGAGAGCAGUGAUGUCUUGUGGUUCUGUAGUAGUCAUUCACUCACCAUUUAAUUAUUGCAUACAUAAAUGCUAGAAACUCAAAGUAGUAUUUUGAUUGUAGGCAGACAACUAAUCACAAAUUCUCAAACGAGAAUGUUUUACACUCAUUUUUCUCAUGUUCCUGUUAUGUGUUUCUCUGACAGUUAAACACUGCAAUUCCCUUAACAUGCAACUGGUGUUAUAACUGUUCUUCAAACAUGUAGUACAUUCGGGAAGUAUUUAGACACAUUCACCGUACCCACAUUUUGUUACAUUAUAGACUUUUUCUGAAAUUGAUUAAACAUAUUAUUUUCCUGAUCAGCGUUUGCACAAUAACCAAUAAUGACCAAGCAAA